ACACGCGAACGGAUUCCUCCGUACGCCCACAUCCCCUCCUUGUGCAGGGGUCUUCUUAGAUUGUCUCACUGGGCGUCGGGGGCGGGGAAUGUGCGUCCCUUCAGUAAACAGGACUCCCUGCCAGCUGCCUGUGCUGUUUAUUAGGAGGCGGCUUUACUAAGCAAGGCACAGCUCUGAGACUCAGACGUAGGCACCGUGAGGCUCCGGCACGAGCAACUCAGCGAAGAGGAGUCCUUGGCGGGGACCCAGCAGCCCUGGGGGUGACACGUGAGCCCUGGUCACGGACCGGACGGCAGUGGGGCGCAGGGAUGCUUGUUUGCAUGAUGUUGUGAAGCCCAGGUGGCCUCCAGCAGUAGGGGGAUGCCAGUCACCGUGUUCCAGAGGACACUAACUGCCUGUGGGGGAGGCUAUAUGGGCAGCAGCCAGAGACACCUCGCCACCGGAGUGACCCACCUGGGAGGAUGCUUUGCCAGCUCCAGGGCAGCUGUCAGUGAGGGCAGCCUCAAGAAAUCUUGAGCCUGAAAUGACUUACAGGUGACCUACAGCCACGGAGCUCCCUUGUUCCACGGACCCUCGUGAAGAAGUGGCCCGAGGACAACGGGAAACUUGAGUGCCAACUUGUUACCCACACUGCUUCUGCCAUCCUCCUGCCUGCUCAGAAGUACACCUGGUGGACUGAGGGCGGCCACCCCAGCCCAUAAGACACCACCCGCACGUGGAGGCUGGCACAGGGUCUGGCCUGCAGCGGUCCUGCAGAUGCAGCUGUCCUGGUGAGAUGGCCAGAGCGCUGGCGUGUGACGCCGCACACUGUGCAACAUGCAGGCCCUUCCUCCCUAAGGACCCCGCCUUUCCCUCACCACCCAGAGCCCAGCGCUCGCUCCCAUGGGGCUGGCGGCUGUGUCCACAAGCCCAGUGCGGUCCUCUGUCCUUGGCCCGUCCGGCCAGUGCUGCCAGCUCAUCACUGUUACAGUCCUGAAUUGCAGCUUACAGGUGUGAGGGAUUGGUUAUGUACACUUGCAUGAUGGUAACAGGUAACGUUUUGACACUUCCUCCUGGACUGGUAGCUGUCCAGAUGCGAUGGAGAUGCUAUGCAGUAUGUAGGUCCUGAUCCCAGGUUGCCUUCUUUUAUAUGUUUGUUUUGAGUCUCCUUCCUCAAAACACAAACCAGCAUGGUUCUUAGGUUCCUUACUAAGGUUGUGAUAAGAAGCGUUGACGCCAUGCUUUCUAAGGGCAGUUUAAUCCCCCUCCUCUCGGUUCAUGCCCAAGUGUGACAGCAGCCACGGUCUGAGCCCCUGGAUGGCUGGCCCUUUACAGACACGGCUGGGAAUCUUCACAUAACCUUUCAGCGUUUGAGUGUGACCACCUGAUUUUGUGAUGAAGCAGCCGAGGCUCAAAAAAGGCCGAAAGCCGCACUCAAGAUCAGCUGGCUUGGAACCAAGCUGUGUCCAGAGCUGGUCAGAGCUCGACAAUCUCAUUUAAUCCACAGGGCUCUGUGGGGUCCGUAUUAGGUUCAGAAAACAGACAACUGGACUCCUAAGAGGUUAAAGCAGGUGAAGCCGACGGUGCCCCAGCCCAGCCGUGGGACAGGUGACAGCUCUCCCGUGAGGAAGUCACUUUGUUUCCUUAUUACACAGUAUGUUUUAAACACUGGGCACACUGUGAGAGCCUGAUUUCAGCCUGAGUCACCUGGGGGUGACGCUCCACAUGGCCCGAUACCAUCUUCACAGGAGGUGCUGCCUGGCCAGCUGUGCCCAGGCUUUGUGUGACGGCCUUGAAACCAUCGCUCCCACUCCUUCAUUAUUCAGCCAUGACUAUUUCUGCAGAAUGUUAGCUGUAGAAGCCCAGAAAUAAGCACGGCUUAUGAUUUGAAGCACGUCCGGCUGUACAUUCUCUCAGAAGCCUGAAAUAGUAUUUUCUAACACCUUUUGUGGUUGCAAAUACUGAAUUUAAAUAGGACUGCAGAUACAAACAAAGAGUAAGACGUGGAUUGAUGUGCCUAUUUCAGGACAUGCAGCCACACUUCCUGAAAUAUAGACGCUGAAAUUAGUGAAAUGACAAAUGGAAAAAAGGAUAAUGUGCAGAUGUGCACUGGAUGGUCCCAAGCCUCGUGGAAGACCCGAGCGGUGAAUAACCUGUUCGUUUGGCUGAGGGUCUCUCCCAGUCACAACUUUCCAUGUGUACACGUUUAAGAUGACAUACUUUACUAACAGUUUAAAAAACCAUUAUUACUGAUGCCAGUGGCAAUGACAUGGACAGUUGUAUUAUUAUUUUUCCCUUAAUAAAGGAUAAAGCUGAGAAAUCAGAGAGAUGGAAUAGUUGGCUCUGAGCUCACGGUCAAGGACUCGUUAUUCUCAGUUUGUGUGAACAAAUCUCUGUCUUCACAUGUCCUUUCUUCUGGCCCUUGGACCUCAGCGUGACCAUGAAGUACCUGUCUGACAUUCAGUUCUGCAAACUGGGAUGUAACGGCCUUACUGCUGUCUGGAUUAAGUGACACACUGGUAUGAAUGUGGUGAGCUGUGGAGUCAGAAGACAGCACUGCUGGUGGCUUUCUUCUGUAAUGGUGAAAAUUUAUAUGGGGUGCCUAGAAUGAAACUUCAUUCAAAGAAAGAUCUACUACAGUCUACUUUUGUAAGCAAACAAAUUAAACAGUGAGUACCCAGACUGAACAAAAAUCAGCAAGGAAAUCAUCCAAUGUGUCGCUGUCGCCAGGCUUCGUGGUUAGAUAGUGCUCCUUAGGACGCCUCCAGCACUGCGAGGCCAACACACAGCAGGGGAGUCACAGGUCAGGCAUCUCAGCCAUGUGGGUUCUGACAUACAAACCCUAUCGAGCUCCCCUAUUGAGCUGCUUACUAUCAAAUAUGUAGGCGAUAAGCAGGGCCUCAUGGGCCAUGUGACCCGCCACUUCUCAGUGCUGCUGUUGUACCGCAGAAAUCGCCACAGACCACACGUGUUGAACGGGCAUCGCUGUAUGCCAACAGAAUGAUGUCUACAAACGCAGAGGGCAGGUAGACUUGAAGGGCUGUCACAUAGCCCCUUUCAUGCCAGCGCUGUCCAUGACACACAGCGUGAGCCACAGACGGAACUUAACAUCUUAUGGUAGCUACACUAAAACAAUGGAAACAAGUGAAGUUAAUUUUAAUGUUUUAUUUAACCCAAAAUAUCUAAAAUAUCAUUUCAGCAUGUAAUCAAUAUAAAAAACUAUUAGCGAGACUUUACAUUUUUGUACUAAGUCUUCGAAACUUAGCUGUGCGCUUCCAGCAUCCACGUUUUAUUUCUGCACCCAACAGCCACAUGUGCCUCUGGCCACAUCCUGGGUCUUCCUUCUACGCUGGGGUUUCUACAACCGACCUCAAGUUCAGUGUCGUGUUGGGGUUUGGUUCUUGAAAGAUAGGGGACAUAUUGUGUUGCCCCUUGAGAAACAGGACACGGGGUUACAGUUUGGAAGGAACAUGUGGCCUCGGAUGCUUUGAGCUGAGGUGGCCCAGGGUGCCAGGGUACAAGCGGACAAACAGACCGAGGCUACAGUUAGACGAUAUUAGCUUCACCUGCCAACCAACAAAUCUAAUGUGAGAAACACCUGCUAUAGACCACAAAAUGCCCAAGGCGUGACCACAUUAUGUCACCUUUGGCGUUGCUGUCAUUGACAGAGCUAGUUAUUAGCACGACUAUACCAGAAUUUAAAGCGUGUAACAUAAGGAUGUGAUUUGGAAGAUAAAAUGAACUGUGUAGCAAGGAAAAAAGCCGCAAAAUCAGAUUGAAUUUUUAAAACCAUCGAAACAAUCUAAUGCAUUUUCGGUUAUGUUUGUGUAACAAUUUGAUGCUUGUCAGCAGUUGUUGAACAAGUUACUGAAGGAUCGCAAACCUUAGUCUAACCCUUGGGAAGUUCUUCAUUAACUAAACCUAACUUUCUAAGUGAUCAACUCAACAUUUCCAAGAUAAGAAUGGAUAUACCCUCUUGUUAAUAACUCAGAGGCAAGUGUUUUUAACAAAAAAUUUAUUACCAAAAUACAAUCUUAGAGUCAAUACAUGACAGACUCCUAUAAAGCACAAUAAGUUACUGUAACGUUGCACAGUGUUUCCAAAGGUACUUCAGGCAGGGCUGCAGACCCAGCUUGGCCGACCAGGCACACUGCCCCGUGGACACAGCCCUGCAGCGCCCACCUUAGGCACGCUGCUCGACCACACGGCUUUACAAAAUGCAAACCAGCCUGGUGGAACAGGAUACAGCGGCAGAAUAACGGUAGUCUUUACCUGUCAGUGUUCCAGAAACUUCUAGACUUUGGCUACAGAAGCAAUGCCAUAGUGUUACACAAUACUUAUUUCUUAAAAAAAUACAUGUAUCAUGUCCAUGAAUGUCAAACUCAGAAUUCUAUUAAAUAGAUUUCAUAGAAUAUUAGAGCACCUUGCUGUACAAUAAAAAAGAUUAAAUAAGUGUGUAUGAAAACUAAAAAUACAGUUAAGUCUCAAUAGAGAACCUGCUUGUCUUUGUCAGCCUAGUACAUCGCGGGAAGAUACAAUGUAAACAUAGGUGCCUGCCACCUGCUUUGUGUUGAAAGACAGAGAAUAUGAGGAAGCCACCAAUCGCUGCCUCGUGUAGGACAGAUGCAGAACAAAGGCUUUGGAAGUGUCACUACACCACACGGGCUGGACACAGAGCUCAAUCUACAGAGCAAUGGGAGAGAGUUCUGGGACAGUUAGGGCACUGGAGACACAGACCACCGUGGAUCACCAGAGAGGAAAUGACAAAGCCCUGAAAGGAAUCAUUUAUAAUGAUCAGAAGCAUUGCCUUCCCCCCAACUUUGCCUUACCCAGUGAGUUUCUUUAAAAAACUAUUUUCACUAUCAAAUCGUAGAGUUGUAAGUGUUCAGAGUGGAAAACAAAUUCUAUGGGCCAUAGUGUAUGGCAAAAGAUCGAGGGCCCGUAAAUGAAAUGUUACUCCUAUAUAAAGGGAGUCCCUGCUGACUACUUCAAUACCUGUCUCUUCUCCGACUGAAAUUGUGGAUUUAGUCAUUUUCACUUUUAAAAGCACUCAGUUGUUCUCGGU